CUGUGCUCAACUUCACUGCACUGAAGCAAGAGGCUAUACAGAAACCAUAGACCAGGCUGGGGGAAAUGCAGCCCAAGAUUGAGGCCAGGAGCAGGUGGAUCCUGUUUUUGAAUCGCAACAGGAAUGCUCUGUCUGAGCAAAACCCAAAAGACAGGGAUCCCAGAUAUAGACAGAUGCACCAGUUUGAAAAGACACAGAUUCAGCUGGCUGUGAAGGAUGUGGUCAUCCCUGAUCUGUCAGACAUGAUGGGAAUCACUCCUCGAUCACAGUCUGCCAGGACCCCACAAUGCAGAAGGACACGGAGCACUCGGAGUCCCCAAAAAGUCUGCUCAGCUCGCGUCUCUGAUCCGAAGGGGAGCAGUGAAGAGAUGCUGGCGUCAGGAAGAGCCACAGGAGUCGGCAUGAGGCCAGUGAGCGCAACAGUGACAACCAGCAUGAUCCCCAGAGACACAGCAGACGCCCCCCUCACUGCACGAGGGGUUCGCUGCCGUCUGCAGGAGAGACCCCACAGUGCCAGGGUCCCGAGAGCAGUGGGGCCUCUUCACAAGAUGGCAGGAGGAGCUGCACCAGGAGAGGAGUCUUCCCUACAGCUUAAAGAUGGGCUCAAUGUCGACCAAGUCCAGGGGUUUCGCUGCCGUCUGCAGGAGAGACCCCACAGUGCCAGGGUCCCGAGAGCAGUGGGGCUUCUUCACAAGAUGGCAGGAGGAGCUGCACCAGGAGAGGAGUCUUCCCUACAGCUUAAAGAUGGGCUCAAUGUCGACCAAGCACAUGUGGGAAGAAUUGCAAGCCAGCCUCCAGAAACCAAUAUGGUUCAACACAAGGAAUCCAGAGACGCUGAUGGGGACUCCAGAGAGACACCUGCUGCAGGCAUACUGCACCUCUACUUGCCCUCUACAAAAUAUGAGGAGGAAGAUGACGAGGAGGAAGAAGGGAGGCAUCAGAUCAAGAGAACUGGACAACUGGAACCCCAGGAUGCCAGCGGGAUGACUCAUCCCCCUGUCCUCCGUUCGAGCAGAGACAGGAGCAGGGAAUUCAUGAAGCAGACGAAAGGCAGUGCCCCUAGCACGCGUGCCAGUCUGGAUCAAUCCAGAAAUUGCUCUCCGAUGGUUUACACCCGUAGGAGGAAGCCCAUGCCCAUUAAAAGAUAUCUCCCAGCUGCCACUGUGCUUUUGGAACCAUCUGACUCCACCACAAAAUGUCCCUUGGAAAAGGGAACAUUGUGGUGAAGCUCCACAGUUCGGGAAUAGGAUGAGCAGGUCCUACUCCACGCCAGGACAGCAGAGCUCUGCAGAAGGAGGAGCUAAGCCGAAUGAGAUGUCGUGCCACACAGGUGACAAGAGCAUGGCAUGCCCGCCUAAAAAUAAUGACUAUGAAAGAGACAUCCUUUCUCCUGGACUGUGGAACAUCAAAUCAAAGACUACCAAGACCUUCAGGCUAGGCCAAGAUGGAGCCCAAGAAACAAAGACAGUAUACUAUCUGCGAGCAAUCGAUCGUACACCCAGGACGGCAAGUUUUGCAGAAAAUACAUAUUCAUCAACCCGACACUAGCCCUCGCCCUCUCUUACUGUGUGAUUCCAAAUUGGUUUCUGAUGAUCAGCUGUCACGCUGUUACAAGACUUUGCAUGUAGGAUUUGCCGAAAGACAAGGUCAAGUUCAAAAACGGCAGUUUUCAUGCAAUUUUCUAUUUAUUCUGGCCUGAUAACGGGUUUCAGAGAAUGUUGGAGAAACUUGCUUGUUUCGCUGUGCUGUUUGGAAGCUGCGUCAGAAGAUUAUCCGUGUGAAUUUUCUAAGUGGUUUUGGUGCUUUUUUUAUACUCUCUGGGCUUCAUGUUUUUUGGGGAUGAAUUUCUUUAUGUUUUGCUGUAUUGAAGCAUUAAUGAAUUGAAGCAUUGAAUUGAUAGAAUUUAAAGCAUCACUAUCGCUUUCUCAGCCUUGUAAGAAGAAAUGCCCAUUUUUGUUGUUGUUAUCAUUGCUUUGCUUUCACUUGUUCUAUGAACAACCUUCUCAGCCUUAAAAGGAAAAAAAAAACCUUCCAAGUCUUCAGACCUGUUGUGAAAGAACCUCAGACACUAAACCUUGCUUAAGUGGGAGAGGGAGAGAGAAAACUGUGUUUUUGUUUAAUUCAUGUCAACUGCCAGAAAGUUGCAAACUUGGUUUUGAAUGAAAUCAUGUGAUAGUCAAAUUGAAACAUGAGCCCAAGCAAAGGAAAACCACUUCAAAUCAAAUAGCAAACUUCCUUCUGGUCUUGAUUUUCUUUUAAACAGGACCAAAUUCAGCAUGAGUAAGAAAAUGUGAAUGAAUUAUUUUACUAAAAUGUAUUUAGAUUAACUUUGGCCUGGAUGUGGAUUUUGCUACUUUGCGUUUUUGUUUGUCUUGGUUCUAGUUAAGUGACUGACAAGGCGAUAAAUUGUAUAUCUCCACAAAACACAUAUGACCAGACUUAUUUCAACUACAGAAAUUAUGUUUCAUACACAUAGGAUAGAUUUUUACAAUAUACUGCGUGUGUUAUUUGAAAACACACAGCAUUUGAAUUCUGUUCCUUCACUGUGUACAAAGACAAUUUUAGCAACACUUUUUUGUGCCACUAAAAAGGUAGAACUAAUUUCUUUUAAAAUAGUGUCCAAAAUUGUAUUGUCUUGCAGUGAUUCUCCUGCCUAAAUGUCAGACAGGAGGAAUGGCGAUGAAGUGGUCAGUAUUACAGACGUAUUGCGGUCUUUACAGUUUUUGUAUAUAUUUAUCAACAGAACAUCAAAUCAAUUAUAUGGGUAUCAUGAAAAAUAAAGAUAAUAUGAUUUGCAAAAAUUCCAAGAAUGUUAAUUCUGAAAGGCUAUUACAAGCACGUUAGAAAUUAAAUCAUGCACCUGUCACUUCAGAAGUGAAACACCCUUGCUGUUCCUAAAAAUGCAACACAGAAUAUGACCUUCUCUCUAGCGGUUGGGCAAUUAUUAAUUAAAGAAGGACAGCAAAAUCUCGGUAAAAUGUCAAAUCCAGUCCUGUGUCAAA
rnacentral:lncRNA from 1 species